AUUUUUCUUCCAUAAAUAUGGUUAUGAAAUAAGUAGCGAAAUAAAUACAUGAUAAAGCUGCAAAAGUUCAGCUUAGAGUAAAAAUAUGAAUAUCACUGAGAUUAUUUAUUCAGCUACAACAAGUUAUCAUCCCUGAUCUCCCCCUCAAGUUUUCAGCUGCCCACAGGACACCGCUCACAGGACUCCACCUACAGGACACUGUUGCCUGCAUAUUUCUGAGAGACUCGACUGUCACAGCUGAUCUUGGAUCAGUUAGGUGCUUUCUGCUUAGCCUUGAGUCCUUCCUCUCCACUGCCAGCGGCCAGCGAAGCAGCCGAGCGUGAGAG
rnacentral:lncRNA from 1 species